GUACACGCUGUGACUAGCAUAUCAAUAAGCGGAGGAAAAGAAACUAACAAGGAUUCCCUUAGUAACGGCGAGUGAAGCGGGAAGAGCUCAAAUUUGAAAUCUUCAAGGUUUUACCUUGACGAAUUGUAGUUUAAAGAAGUGUUUUCUGCUGAAGUUUUGGUAAAAGUUCUUUGGAAUAGGACAUCAUAGAGGGUGAGAAUCCCGUAUUUGACCAUUAUUUUCAGCUUUGUGAUACACUUUCAAAGAGUCGGAUUGUUUGGGAAUGCAGUCCAAAAUGGGUGGUAAAUUUCAUCUAAAGCUAAAUAUUGGCGAGAGACCGAUAGCGAACAAGUACCGUGAGGGAAAGAUGAAAAGAACUUUGAAAAGAGAGUUAAACAGUACGUGAAAUUGUCAAAAGGGAAGCGUUUGACACCAGUGUUGUUUUCUCGAAAAUCAAUUAAAAAUGGCUCGAUUUUGUAUUGCUUGAGACCUUAAAAGCUCACUGUACAUUUUUCGUGUCUUUUUUAAUGCACUUUUCGUUUAACAAGUCAACAUCAGUUUCUUUUGUUGUAAAAGGGUCAUUGGAAGGUGGCUUUCUUUUCGGAGAAAGUGUUUAUAGCCUUUGGCCUCUGCAAUCGGAGAGACUGAGGUCUGCAGCGUAGACUCUUCGGGGUUAGAUACAUUUGUGCUAAGUUAUAGCUUUUUAUAGACAACUUGUUGACUAUAAUUAGUCUUGUAGCUUACUCGCUUAUGCUAUUUUACCUACGCUUAGGAUGUUGAGUAGCGACAUACGCAC
rnacentral:rRNA from 1 species